ACGGAGGGUGCAAGCGUUAAUCGGAAUGACUGGGCGUAAAGCGCACGUAGGCCGCAGUGUAAGUCAGGGGUGAAAUCCCACGGCUCAACCGUGGAACUGCCUUUGAAACUGCAGAACUUGAAUCCGGGAGAGGGUGGCGGAAUUCCUGGUGUAGGAGUGAAAUCCGUAGAUAUCUGGAGGAACACCAGUGGCGAAGGCGGCCACCUGGACCGGUAUUGACGCUGAGGUGCGAGAGCGUGGGGAGCAAACAG
rnacentral:rRNA from 1 species